CAAUUUGAUGAUCUUAUGGCGGAGAAGGAAGCAGUAUCUUCAAAAUGUGUCAAUUUGCCUAAAGAGAAUCAAGUUUUUCAACAGGAGUUAUUAUCUAUGAAAAAAGUACAACAGGAAUGUGAAAAACUUGAGGAGGAUAAAAAUAUGUUGGAAGAAGAAAUAUUAAAUCUUAAGACACAUAUGGAAAACAGUAUGGUAGAACUUAGUAAACUACAAGAAUAUAAAUCAGAGCUAGAUGAAAGGGCAAUGCUGGCAGUAGAAAAAUUAGAAGAAAUCCAUUUACAGGAACAAGCACAAUAUAAAAAACAAUUAGAGCAGUUAAACAAGGAUAUAAUACAGCUUCACUAAAUAAGAAGGAACUCACACUUAAAGAUGUGGAACGUAAAUUCUACAAAAUGAAAACUGCUUAUGAAGACGUUACAACUGAGUUAGAAGAAUAUAAGGAAGCCUUUGCAGCAGCAUUGAAAGCUAACAGUUCCAUGUCAAAAAAAUUAACUAAAUCGAAUAAGAAAAUAGCAAUGAUCAGUAUCAGCUCUUUAUGGAGAAAGAGCAGGUGAAAUAUUUUCUCAGCACUCUUCCUACAAGGCGAGGUCGAGAGUCACCUUGUGUUGAAAAUCUUACUAGUAUAGGACUCAACAGAAAAUAUAUUCCCCAAAUGCCCGUAAGAAUU
rnacentral:lncRNA from 1 species